GUCGCAUGCUCCGGCCGCCAUGGCGGCCGCGGGAAUUCGAUUUUACCGCGGCUGCUGGCACGAGUUAGCCCGAGCUUAUUCUCCAGGUACUGUCAUUAUCAUCCCUGGUAAAAGAGCUUACGACCCGAAGGCCUUCAUCACUCACGCGGCAUUGCUGGAUCAGGCUUUCGCCCAUUGUCCAAUAUUCCCCACUGCUGCCUCCCGUAGGAGUCUGGGCCGUGUCUCAGUCCCAGUGUGGCUGAUCAUCCUCUCAGACCAGCUAAGGAUCGUCGGCUUGGUAGGCCUUUACCCCACCAACUACCUAAUCCUACGCGGGCUCAUCCUUUGCCGAUAAAUCUUUGGUCCGAAGACAUCAUCCGGUAUUAGCAGUCAUUUCUAACUGUUAUUCCGAAGCAAAGGGCAGAUUCCCACGCGUUACGCACCCGUGCGCCACUAACCCCGAAGGGUUCGUUCGACUUGCAUGUGUUAGGCAUGCCGCCAGCGUUCGUUCUGAGCCAUGAUCAAACUCUAAUCACUAGUGAAUUCGCGGCCGCCUGCAGGUCGACCAUAUGGGAGAGCUCCCA
rnacentral:rRNA from 1 species